rnacentral:lncRNA from 1 species
AUUUCCAGUCAUUCUUUCAGUAUUUAUGAAGCGAUCAUUCUUCCACUUAUACUUUUCUAAAAUGAUACUUUACAAUAUAAUUCUUGUUGUUAGACCAUAUGAAAUUUAAUUUUGGGCCUAAUGGGUGUGAGUUGAAUAGAUAUUGGUCAUUUAAUAAUUUUUUAUUAAGGUAAUUAAUAUAUAACUCUUGUACAGUUUUACACAAAGUCAUUUUGUUAGAAUUUCAUUAAAUAACUAUUAAAUAGAUUGGGUUAAAUAUUAUAUAUUCCCUAAUAUUUAGUUUAAUAUACCAAUUGCCCCUAUGUAUUGUUUAUUGUACUAGAAUCCUCUUGCAUUUUGUAAAACUGAUUGCUAAUCCCUCUAUCUAAAGUUAAUACAAUUAAAGGACUAAAUUGAUAAAAAAUAUAUUUUAAUCCUUGAAUUUCUUACUAAAAUUAUAAUUUUAGCAUUUAAUAAAACUAAUAGUAAAAAUAAAUUUUUAACUAAGUAUUUUAUUUUGAUAAUUUAAAACUAAAUCAUAUAGACAUUCAAAUUGUUGAUAAAUAUAAAUACAUGUAAAAUGUUUAAUUUUAUUAGAAUUAAUUUGUGCUGAAAGUUAGAUCAAAGAAAUAUUAAUUAGUUAUAUUUCUUAAUUAGCCACUUGAUUUUUGCUAAAAUUAGAAAUUUUUCUCAAUUUGUUUCAAAAAAUUAAUUUUAAAUCAAUCUAGUAUUUGAUAAUAAAUUCGAUAAUCACAUUGAAAUGUUUUUAAUUUCAAAGUCUUGAUUAUAGUUAGUUUAAUUAAAAUAUAAAGGUACUUUGGUAUAAUAAAUAAAAUUUAAUGGACAAGUUGUGUAAUAAGCAAAAAAAUUAAGAGGUAAAUAAUAUUUUACCGGAUCUAUUUAAUGAUUAUUUAACUAAAAUUCUAAUGAUUUGCCUUUUUAAUAUAAAUUUAUAAAUUAAAAAUCAUGAUAAGAAUAUAAUUUUUAAAAAUAAAAAAGUAACUAGUAUAAAAUGAAAAAACACAUAAAAAAAAUAGUAAUGACCCCUUCUAUAUCAUCUGCAGUAAUUUUUCAUUAUUUUACACCAUUUCUUUGCAGUUUUAUGUUAUCUAUUAGGAUUUACAUACAAUAUCUCAAUUUCGCAAUAUUUUAAUAUAAAAACUUCAAAAACGAUAUCAGUUCAGGCAGCACCAGAUUUUGUUGUUUAGCUUUGCUUGUUCGAACAUGUUGCCACGCACUCAGGUUUGCAAAGAAAUUUAGGUUUAUGAGGUAUGCAUGAUGCAAAACAAGGCUUAAAACAAGCUUCAUCAGCAUCAAUAGUAGGAGUAGUAUAUGAUCCAAGUUUCCAUCCUUCUGCAACCUCAGUGGAUGCAACCAGCAUGACAAUAAGGAUGGUAGCAAUUGAAAUUUUGCUUGGGCUCAUUUUUUAUGAUGUUCCUG